UAAAACUAUGUUUACUUACUUUAGGGUGAUUGCUAAUCUUUCAUCCGGAGGAAUACAACGUCUAAAAUUUGUAUCUUGCUUUUGCAGUUGCGGCAGCAUUUUAAGCAGUUCAAAAAAUUUUUGCGAACUCAUCCGGAAAUAUUUAAAAAAAUUGGCUUCAUCCUGAAGUAGGUCUAGAAAUAAUGUAUGGAAUUCUCCGUGCUCGUCACUAACUCUACAGCAGAGUGACACCCACUUAACAGCUUUUUUUUUAUACAUUUGAACUUUUUCAGAAGGUAGUGUAUGCCUAUUAAGGAUUUAUAACAUGUAAAUUUGUUAUUUAUUUAAUUGGAUUUUUAGUAAUUUUAUUUACUAUGAUAUGCAUCAGGAAGACGUAAUAUGCACUACUCCGGUAGAAACGAUUCGGUUUAUAAUUCAUUAAAAAUCGAAAUAUUGUACUGCGACUUAGCCAAUCAUAUCCCAGGAUUCGUUAGGAUGUCAUCUUUUUGGGAAAUGCAUUUUGGAUACUAACAAUUUGCAUAAAGUGGUGGUGAAGUCGAGUUGUCCAGAAAACGGUAUAUUGGUGCAGGAUUACUACGGUGAAAUACCACGUUUAGCUAACACUACAAGUCCAAUUCGCUUACCAGGGGACUUAAAACUAUUUGGGGGUAUUGAGUAAGUCAUGUAGAAUCGAGGGAUAUAAGUGCCGGGCGGACACAAAAUGCACUAUGCCGGUAGAUAUCUAUAGGUUUAUAAUCCUGUUAUAUAUGUAAUCCUGGGUAUGUAGUAAUCCUGUUAUAUAUGUAAUCCUGAGUAUAUGGUAAUCCUGGGUAUAUAGUAAUCCUGUUAAAUAUGUAAUCCUGGGUAUCAUGCGGCAACUGUACGCUAAACUAUAGCUUUGCACAAUUAUUUAAAAAUAACCAUCCACCCUACAGCUAUAAAAAAUAUCUUUCCUUGGAAAGAGGAGGUAGUCUGCUAUCCUGUGAAUAUAUUUUGAGGGAUAACAUUUGAACUGGUUAGCGAUGAGGAGAUGAUUACCGCAGAAAGUACGAAUAUCUUGCAUCAUACGGCAACCGUAUGCUAAACUAUAGUUUUGCAAAAUUAUUAAAAAAUAACCGAAGUUCCUUAGUAAAUCAUCGGUUGUUAAAAUAGUCGAAUUUCUUCAUCGCACUCUGUGCUAAUCUACUACGAACCACUACUGCCUACUGUACAGCAGAGCGAUAUGUACUUAUCAGAAUUGUUUGUUUUAUUUUUUUUAGUUAAUUUGCUAGAGGGGAUUGAAAGAAAUUAUGAUGAACAAGAGAAGAAGUAUAAAUUUAUUACCAUGAAGUGUUUAUUCUGUGUUAAAAGUUUUAUGCAUGAACAAACUCUUUUAUCACAUUUAAGUUUUGUUCAUUUCAAAAAGGGUUCGGAUAUACCCAGGGAACGUCCAACGAAUGUAAUAAUGGCGAUUGCUUCUUCAAUGUUGCACUUUCCCAGCACCACACUAAUGACUUCAACUAGUUUGUACCAUUACCUCAAAAGUUAUGGUUCAAACAUGGAAAGCGUUACUUCAUUAAACGUUUUAAUGAUAAAAAAUUGUGAUUCAAUUCAGUAUUUUAUCAAUAAAAAAGUAAAUGUACUUUCAAGAUACACCAACGUUGGUAAUAUUGUAAAAUAUAUAAAAGAUGAGGGGCUUGAAAAAAAAAAUUAUAACUUCACAUCCUAACUCAAUAAACAAAAUAGCAACCGAUUAUGUAAAUUCUAAAUACGACAAAAAAAUAGGGGGAAAAAAAUAGCACUACUCAAAAAACAAUCGAAAGAUAUUUUAAAAAGUCAAACAAUUAAACAUUACUCACAAUUCUUAAUAACAGUAAAACUCCCUAUUCAAAAACAUUCAGACACUAUUUCCAUAGACACAAUAAAUUUUUUCAAUAACAGCCAACCUACAUCAUUCUCCCCAUCUGAAACGUUUGAAGAAAAUCUCAAGUACAUGAACAGUAUACAAGAUAUAGAUUAUAUGAUAUCGGCUAUGAUAUUCUAUAACUCAACUCAUAUGCUCUAUAGUGGCCAAGUCUGCGAAGUUGGCGUAUUAAAAGCUCUUUGUAUAAAAAAAAAAUAGUUGGUGCAAUUGUAUAUAAUUGUGAAUUAUAUUAACACCUACUCUAAACAAAUCCAUGGUUUUAUUGAUUCCUACGGCAGAAAACUGAAUACUAAAACUUCAAUACUGAAUAACACAUCGUUCAUAACAACGAACAAUAUCUAUGCUGUGGACAAGGAAUUCAAGUCGUUUAUAUCCACUUUGGAAAGAUGGUGGACCCAACCAUUCAUUGACAUGGGAUAUAGUCAACCACAUAAAAAACAAUAUUCUAUCACUAAAAUAAUUAAUUCUUCUUUAAACAUUAUAAUUUUAUAUUAAUUUAUAAAAAAAUAGAUUGCCAACAACACUUGGAAAUGUCAGUAUUGUUGUUGAUGAUGAAUCCAUAGUUCAAUUUUUCAUUCCAAUUAGGGUUGAUAUGGAUUUUAACAAAAAUUUGGUUUUGGCGUGCAUUUAUAUGUACUAUGAAAAUGCAUUAAUGACAAAUAAACACACAUUGUCCAAUAUAUUUAAACACAUUGAAAUAGUUAUGUGUAUUAUAAGACAUAGAUUCAUAAACAAGUCUGGAACAAAACAAGUACUAUUGCACUUAGUAAAAGAAAAUUACUUAACCAGAAUAAAUACAAAUAAAUACAAAGCAGAUUUAUCUAUGAUUGAUGAAGAAAUUAAAAAAUAUAAAAAUAUAUACAUAAUAAAAGACAUUUUUAACAUUAAAGAAGACGUGUACAUGAGAACGGCAGUCUUUUACAAUCUUCCAACAACUUUAUUUUCAAAACACAUUCCCAAAUUUCAAGCCCCAAUCAACAGAACACAACUAUUUCAAAAAUUCACGAAAAAAAUCAACUUAAUCAAAAUUUUUUUAAAUAAUAUAACUAAAAUCCAUAACACAAAUUUCGAUACAAUCCAUGCAACUUAUGUACAAAAAACUGAAAACUACAGGCAAGAUUUACAAAACCUACUGGCUACUAUCAACACAUCCAAAAAUUACAAUAAAUAAUUAUAUCACCUGUCAAUUAUUAGUUAAUAUACCUAACUACU